ACAGGCUUAACACAUGCAAGUCGAGGGGCAGCACAGGUAGCAAUACCGGGUGGCGACCGGCGCACAGGUGAGUAACGCGUAUGCAACUUACCUAUCAGAGGGGGACAACCCGGCGAAAGUCGGACUAAUACCGCAUGAAGCAGGGGCCCCGCAUGGGGAUAUUUGCUAAAGAUUCAUCGCUGAUAGAUAGGCAUGCGUUCCAUUAGGCAGUUGGCGGGGUAACGGCCCACCAAACCGACGAUGGAUAGGGGUUCUGAGAGGAAGGUCCCCCACAUUGGUACUGAGACACGGACCAAACUCCUACGGGAGGCAGCAGUGAGGAAUAUUGGUCAAUGGCCGAGAGGCUGAACCAGCCAAGUCGCGUGAGGGAUGAAGGUUCUAUGGAUCGUAAACCUCUUUUAUAAGGGAAUAAAGUGCGGGACGUGUCCCGUUUUGUAUGUACCUUAUGAAUAAGGAUCGGCUAACUCCGUGCCAGCAGCCGCGGUAAUACGGAGGAUCCGAGCGUUAUCCGGAUUUAUUGGGUUUAAAGGGUGCGUAGGCGGCCUUUUAAGUCAGCGGUGAAAGUCUGUGGCUCAACCAUAGAAUUGCCGUUGAAACUGGGGGGCUUGAGUAUGUUUGAGGCAGGCGGAAUGCGUGGUGUAGCGGUGAAAUGCAUAGAUAUCACGCAGAACCCCGAUUGCGAAGGCAGCCUGCCAAGCCAUUACUGACGCUGAUGCACGAAAGCGUGGGGAUCAAACAGGAUUAGAUACCCUGGUAGUCCACGCAGUAAACGAUGAUCACUAGCUGUUUGCGAUACACUGUAAGCGGCACAGCGAAAGCGUUAAGUGAUCCACCUGGGGAGUACGCCGGCAACGGUGAAACUCAAAGGAAUUGACGGGGGGCCCGCACAAGCGGAGGAACAUGUGGUUUAAUUCGAUGAUACGCGAGGAACCUUACCCGGGUUUGAACGCAUUCGGACCGAGGUGGAAACUCCUUUUCUAGCAAUAGCCGUUUGCGAGGUGCUGCAUGGUUGUCGUCAGCUCGUGCCGUGAGGUGUCGGCUUAAGUGCCAUAACGAGCGCAACCUUUGCCACUAGUUACUAACAGGUAAAGCUGAGGACUCUGGUGGGACUGCCAGCGUAAGCUGCGAGGAAGGCGGGGAUGACGUCAAAUCAGCUCGGCCCUUACAUCCGGGGCGACUCACGUGUUACAAUGGCGUGGACAAAGGGAAGCCUCCUGGCGACAGGGAGCGAAUCCCCUAACCUCGUCUCAGUUCGGAUCGGAGUCUGCAACCCGACUCCGUGAAGCUGGAUUCGCUAGUAAUCGCGCAUCAGCCUUGGCGCGGUGAAUACGUUCC
rnacentral:rRNA from 1 species